AGAGACGAUAAUAUUACGUUGAAUGCACCAGUUCCCCCUGGAUCACUGAAGUUAAGCGCCGUUGCACGUGGUUAGUAUCCGGAUGGGUGACCAUCUGGUUCUGUCUUCAUUUGAAUCCU
rnacentral:rRNA from 1 species